CCAGGUAAAUGAUGCGAGUGUGUUUGCAUAUUGAUCAGAUGCUUCAGUGCUCUGAGAGUGUUUAUAGUGCUGUGAGUUUAACACUUCAUCACUGACACACACAACAAUCUUCAUCAACAUGACCUUCAUCAUCAUCUUCAUCUGGACUCUCACAGCGUUUGCUCAAGAGUGUAGAGGACAGAUCAGCGUCACUCAGAGUCCCUCAACGACAGCAGCUCAACCAGGAGAAACAGUGAAGAUCAGCUGUAGAACCAGCACAGAUGUGUACAGUGGUUAUUAUCAUUAUUUAGCCUGGUACUUACAGAAACCUGGAGAAGCUCCUAAACUCCUGAUUUAUUAUACAAACCUCCUCCAGUCAGGAACUCCAUCUAGAUUCAGUGGCAGUGGAUCUAACAGUGAUUUCACUCUGAGCAUCAGUGGAGUCCAGACUGAAGAUGCUGGACAUUAUUACUGUCAGAGUGCUCACUAUAUCAGUAGUAGCUGGGUGUUCACACAGUGA